AUUUCGCGAGUAUUCCGGAGAACGAUGUCGAAGCGUUCUCCGAAGUUCCCAUAUCAAUCACAUUUUCGGCUCUUUCGAUUACACCUCCUCGUUCAAUCCCCCAGGUGACAUUCACCAAAUCGACUCAGGGGUCAAUGCGGUCAACGUGCGUGAAUCCGAUAGGGACCAAAAAAUCGUCGAACAUACUCUGGACAUCGCUGCAGAAUUUUAGGCGAAAGUUUGGAUACAUGAGUCAUAGAAUUGUAAUUUUUUUUAUUCGCGAAUUCAUAAAUCGGCCAUCUUUGACAGAAUCGACGAAGAAGAAUCAAUCGAUAUUGAUACGAUGAUCAUAGACACGAUUUCGCAGACAACCCAGUGGCACAUGACGCUAAUAAAGUACAGAUAACACUCGUCACGAAAAAUUAGAGCGUACAGACGAUCGGAAUCAUCGUGGUGUUAAUUUGAAAAUAUUAUCGGAGUGCGUGAGGAAAACAACACGCAGUAUCUGUCGUAGUCUCGGUUACCUGAUGUAUUUGCAAUAAAACAAAUGUCACGAUCGGCAAUUCGUCAUUCAAAGAAGACAACUGUAGUCUGUGACGUGUACGGUAUUUCAGUGGCGAUACGCCAGGCCACCGAUAAAAAGAAAGUUUAAGAAAUAACUAGAGCGAACGUGGUGUACGAAUGUUUGAAAAUUUAAAUGUCCACCAUUAGACGAUCUUCGCUUGUUUCUACCGGGCGCCCGAUUGUUGAGAACCUCUCCGCCGUAGUCUGCUAGACUUUCAAAAGCAGCGCGGCAAUCGACGGGGCGCCGUUUGAUGCGGACAAUAUAAUAAAAUGAAUAA
rnacentral:lncRNA from 1 species